UCUUAUUCUCAAAUCAGGUAGGACUACCCGCUGAACUU
rnacentral:rRNA from 1 species